GUGUGGUUUUCUGGCCCCGAGCUGCCAGCCUCGCCCCAGCUCUCCUCCGCACAAGAGGCGAGUUUAGGCACAGGAACACGGUUUCCGGUUUCAGCGGCUGGAUUUUACCCUCAUUCAGCUGAGGCCAGUCGCGCAGCGGGAGCAGCCCGGGUCACUCCCCGUGCUCCGUCACCUCGUCCCCAUUUCUCAGAAUUGAGUUUUGGGGACUAUUGAAUGCUUCAUGGGCAAAAUUACCCGGGGUCAUGGGAUGAAAUGUGCUUCCCCGCCUCGCACAAAUUCAGAUGUUGACGUCCCAACCCCCAGGACCUCAGAAUGGGGCUGUGUUUGGAGAUGAAGGUAAAAUGAGGUCACUAGGUGGGUCCUGAUCCCACAGGAAUGGGGUCCUUCUAAGAAGAGGAGAUGAGGACCCAGACGCACACAGAGGGACGGCCACGGGAGGACACAGGGAGGACACGGCCGUCUACACACCAAGGAGACACCAGCCCUGCUCACGCCUGGUCUCAGAUGCCAGCCUCCGGGACCGAGAGGGACAAAUGUCUGUUGUUUAAGCCCAGCAGUCCGUGACACUCUGUUGUAAUGACCCUAUCGGACAAUGACACCCGUGAGUCAGAGCAGUUUUUAUCACAGAGGAAUCCAUAGAGAUAACUUUCAACAUCCGAAAAAUCAGGGAACGUGUACUUCUAAGCAGGUCUGUUCAUGGAAGGGAAUUUUCAAACUUUUCAUAAAUAGUCAACGAAAUGGGAGCAUUGUGCCUAAAUUGCAAGGAUUAUAAGCAGUCGUCCAAAUUUUAUAACACACUCUGGUCUUCAUUGUAUAACAAGAUGACAUUGCCCAAAAGGGAGGAAGAUGUCCCCAAAAGGUGACAUCUGGAUUAGGAUAUUCUUUCCUAUUUUUUUUUUCCCAAUGUUCCACAGACGUUCUUGUAAUGAGGACACAGACUUCAGAGCAUGCCCUAAAAGAUUUUGCAGGAGACACGGAUUGAGAGAUUUGGAAACCUGGUGGGGUUUUUUUGUUUUGCUUUUUUUGUUUGUUUGUUUUUAUAAAGUGAUGGAUUAGGUUAGAAUUAUCGUAGACCUUGCUGAGGUCUGAGUUUAUCUUAACUCCCUGGAGGGAAGUAAGAAAACACUUGGUAAUUCUUACCUGAGAAAUACAGAUUGUUGCAGUCACCAGUCCUUAUCGGUCCAAGGAGGAAGUUUGAAAACAGAAAGAAGAUGUGACGAAAUAAGAAACACAAGCCCCGACCUUGGAGGAUGGCGGCUGCGGCGGUAAUUUCUCCUUCACGGGUGACGAAGGCACCCUUGUCCCCCCCUCCGAGGCGUGUGUGGGGAUCUGGCAAAGCGAAGCCACCGUGGAUCUGGAAGAACCCAUGUGGAGACGAGACUCAGAAAAUCUGAAAUUCUCGUGACGAGGUGGCCACUAGCUUGUCUCAUGAUAAAGCCAGGGUUCUUUGUUUGUUUGUUUUUUAAAGUUGUUUGGUGCUGGCGAGGGAAGCAAGAGAUUGAAACAAUAUGACAAGAAGCGUCUGUCUGUGUGUGGGUGACUGGGACACUGCACUGUACACUGGGAACAGACACAUUGUAACUGGCUGUACUUCAAUAAAAAGACUAAACACGUAUCUAUAAAAUAGAUAAACAAGGUCCUAAUACGUAGCACGGAAAACUAUAUCCAAUAUCCUGUAACAACCUCUAACAAUGCAGCACCCCACGGAGCCUGGUUUGGGGACCACAGGCACUGCCCCACCCUACAAGGGGUGCAGACUUUACAGCGGAUCAUCGGCAAGGCACUGUGGAAAUCCUCCCGCUUUCCAGCUCCCGCUGCAGUGGCUUUGGGACUGGUACCCAGGUGCGUGGAGGUGUUGGGGGAAAACGGUCCAUUCCAGCAGACUUUGAAAUUGCAAGUCUGUCCGCCAAGGGGGUGCUGAUGGAGUCCCCCCCACCUCCCGCCGAGUGCCAGGCACCCGACAUAGGGGUAUUUGGAUAAAGCAGAGAAAACCCUGGGACCCAUGGACUCAGAUUGCAUGGAGGGGGGUGGACAACCCGCACUCAGAAUUGUUAAGAGGAUGUAAAGUACUGGGCACUAAACGAGGAAUAACAACGUGGGAGGACCAGAGGCGGGAGAGCGUACCACAGCGUGUGGUCAUUACCCAUGUUCAUAAUUACAUAGUCCCAUGUCUGUAAGUAUAUAUUAGCAGUUUAUGUUACAGAAUAUAUGCAUGUGUUUAUCUCUGUGAUUAUAUAUGUCUAUACACAUAUCUGUAUGUACAUAUAUUAGGUCCCCCAGGAGGGGUGGAAUUUAAGUAGACGCAGGGAAGGCGUGACCUUCAGGUGUGUGGGGAGGUGGCGGGGACGGCGUGGCUGGCGUGGCUGGGGGGUGCAGCAGGGCUAGGGUGCGGUCCGGGAGGACCUCGAAAGGAUUUUGCUUCUUACUCCGGGUUGGGUUGCCAGACUGAAUAGAUAAAAAAGCAGGACACUCACUUAAAUUUGAAUUUCAGACAAACAACAAACUAUUGUUUUAGUGUAAGGAUGCCCCGUGCAAUAUUUGGGAUGUACUUAGACUGAGCACCCAGCUGAAUUUGAAUUUUAGUGUCAGCAUGUUCCAUGCAAUCUUUGGAUUUACUUAUACUUAACGCCUGGAUGAAUUGUAAUCUCAGAUAAACAGUAAAAGUAUGUCCAUAAAAUAUGUGGGACUUACAGGAAACGUUCAGUUGAAUGAGAAUUUCAGAUAAACACUGAAUCAUUAUUUUAUUCUAAAUAUGUCCCAUCCAAUCUUUGGGGCAUAGUAACACUAAAUGCUGAGUUGAAUUUGAAUUUCAGAUAAACCACGAAUAAUUUUUUUUAUAGUGUAAGUCAGUCCCAUUCAAUAUUUGAAACCUGCUUAGUCUAAAAAGUCAUUUGCGAUUGAUCUGAAAUUACCAUUCAAUCAGCCUCCUUCGUCAUUUUAUUUGGCAACCCUAACUCUGAGCAAAAUGCAGAGUUACUGUCGAAUUUCGAUUUUAAAAGGGUUCCUCUGCCUGCUGAGUUGAGAAUAAGAUUCGAGGACCUACAGCAGUGGUUAGAACCAGCUGGAGCUUUAGAAAACUCUGCGUGUACCCGGGCUUCACCACAGCCCAACUGAAUCUAGUCUCAAGGAAUGGGGACCCAGGCGUAGAUAUUUCUGUCAUUCCCUCAGGGGACUCUGGUGCAUAUUGACAGCUGAGAUUCCCAGCAGAAGGCUGCUGGAGUUAUGCAGAGAGACAUGAUGGGGGUGUCAUGAAUUAAUGAAGGCUGGGGCACUGAAGCUGUGACACGGUGAGAGACUGUCAUAAUUAUACGACGUGGAACCUUCCUCUAAACCCACAGAAUGUACAGCACCAGGAGUGGACCAUCAUGUAGACCAAGGACUGUGGGUCAUGAUGAUGUGUCAAUAUUGAGUCACUUGUUGUGAUAAAUGCAGGAUGUUAAUCAUGGGGGAAGCUGGGUGCACAGCUAGAAAGGGUACAUCAGAACCAUGUGUACGUUCUGUUGAUUUUUACUGUUAGCUCUCCUCUAAGGAAUAGUCCACUUAAAAAAAUAGAAAGAGUGAAAUAAAAUCAUGUGCAGCAACAUGGAUGGACCUACAGAUGAUCAUACUAAGUGAAGUCAGUCAGACAGAGAAAGAGAAAUAUCACAUGGUAUCACUUAUAUGUGGAAUCUAAAAAAAUGGCACAAAUGAACUUAUUUACAAAACAGAAAGAGACUCACAGACAUAGAAAACAAACUUAUGGCUACCAAAAGGGGAAGGGAGAGGAAGGGAUAAAAUAGGAGUUUGGCAUGAGCAGAUACACACUACUGUACAUAAAACAGAUAAACAACAAGGUCCUACUGUAGAGCACAGGGAACUCCAAUAUCUUUUAAUAACCUAUAAUGGAAAAUAAUAUGAAAAAAUAAUAUAUAAUUGAAUCACUUUGUUGCACACUUGAAACUGACAGUGUUGUAAAUCAACUCUACUUCAGUAAAAGAAAUAAAUGGAUGCAUAACUUUACAACCGUUUGAAGAAGUAAACAAGGAUGACCUCUGCACAUGAUUGUUGGAAAGAUCUCCAGGUAAUAUUGAUAAGGGACAACUUAGAGUGUAAGGUCUGUUUGUGUCAUGUAAAAGCAACGGUGAUUCCGAAGUCGUUGAGUUUGAGCUUAUAUUACUAUCUGUUUAAUACAAUAAUAGUAAUGGGCUAAUAGACUUACAAAAAAGGGUAACCACAAGCCAGAAACUGACAGUUGAGUCACAAAAACUAAAUAAAAUCCAAGAUAAGACAAAGGAAGAUUAUAAAACCACAAAAGGAAGAAGAAAGGAGCGAAGAGGAAAUACCAAAUCAACUGCAAAAACUAAGUUCAAAAUGGCAGUAAACACACAUUUGUCAUUAAUUACUGUAAAUGUCAAUGGACUAAAUGCUCCAAUCAAAAGACACAGAGUGGCAGACUGGAUAAUGAAGCAAGUACCUUCAAUAUGCUGCAUACAGGAGACCCACUUUAGGGAGAAGGACACAUACAGACUGUGAGAAUAAGAGGAUGGAAAAAAGGAUAGUCCAUGCAAAUGGAAAAGCCAAGAAAGCAGGUGUAGCAGCACUGAUUCUGAAGUCGUUGAAAAUCCUGAGUGGGUCCGCAAAGCAAGGCUUUCCUAUAAAGAGGGGCAUUGAUUCGGGGCCGUGGCGGGCGUUACCCAGGGCAGAUGAAACAUUCACUCUUUUCAGCUCAUCCUCUUCUAUUCAGUUUGUUUCCUCCCAGGCGAUGCUGUGUUAUCA